rnacentral:rRNA from 1 species
UACGUAGGGGGCAAGCGUUGUCCGGAAUCAUUGGGCGUAAAGAGCGUGUAGGCGGCCCGAUAAGUCCGCCGUGAAAGUCCAGGGCUCAACCCUGGAAUGCCGGUGGAUACUGUCGGGCUAGAGUCCGGAAGGGGCGAGUGGAAUUCCUGGUGUAGCGGUGAAAUGCGCAGAUAUCAGGAGGAACACCGAUGGCGAAGGCAGCUCGCUGGGACGGUACUGACGCUGAGACGCGAAAGCGUGGGGAGCAAACAGG